CGCGUUCUGUCAGUGUUCCUUCCUCCUCUACAUCUGACACCUGACUCUACUCAGUCCUUCCCUGAUGCCUCUCUGCUCCAGACCCUGGGGAUGGAACCAGGGGGAGGAUAUGGGCCUCCUUACAGACCCUGGGGAUGGAACCAGGGGGAGGAUAUGGGCCUCCUUCCAGACCCUGGGGAUGGAACCAGAAACCACCGCCAGCAACUGAAGCGGCUUAGCAGGAUAUAUAUUCCCAGACUUCCAAUGAGAUAUGAACCACAGAUACGCUGAAGCUUACACACUCUACCACCACGUUGAACCAGUGAGAAUGAGGCGUUCGAAGCGAAAGGUUUUACUCCACCCAAAAUCUCUCCAUGACAAUAAAGAAUUUGCUACAUGAAGCUUAUUUGAUCGAAUAGAAGUUUUGUAAUGAUUAUGUUGUUAUGAAUAUACUGAUUUAAAUGAACGCACGUGGCAU